CGUAUUUCCGUUUCCGGUAGCUGGACACUCGCGGGAUAUUUAAAAAUGUCAGGUAGAAGAGAUUACCCAACCUUGGCGAAGGUGGCUUCCUCAUUCAGCACAAAGAGGGACCUUCUUGGACUGGAUUUGGAUAAGAUUCCCCCUUUGAAGAGGCACAGGCGUCCAAAACAAGCUGCGGAAGCAGUCAGACUACCUCUCCCCUCUACCCCGGUGCCGUCAAUCACCCCACCUUCAUCCAAUCUGCAGUGGUGCCUGAAGAACAUCCAGUGGAGGAUCUGUUGGAAGAUCUGGU